rnacentral:rRNA from 1 species
UGGGGAAUAUUGCACAAUGGGCGAAAGCCUGAUGCAGCAACGCCGCGUGAGUGAUGAAGGUCUUCGGAUUGUAAAGCUCUGUCUUUUGGGACGAUAAUGACGGUACCAAAGGAGGAAGCCACGGCUAACUACGUGCCAGCAGCCGCGGUAAUACGUAGGUGGCGAGCGUUGUCCGGAUUUACUGGGCGUAAAGGGUGCGUAGGCGGAUGUUUAAGUGAGAUGUGAAAUACCCGGGCUUAACUUGGGUGCUGCAUUUCAAACUGGAUAUCUAGAGUGCAGGAGAGGAGAAUGGAAUUCCUAGUGUAGCGGUGAAAUGCGUAGAGAUUAGGAAGAACACCAGUGGCGAAGGCGAUUCUCUGGACUGUAACUGACGCUGAGGCACGAAAGCGUGGGUAGCAAACAGGAUUAGAUACCCUGGUGGUCCACGCCGUAAACGAUGAGUACUAGGUGUAGGAGGUAUCGACCCCUUCUGUGCCGCAGUAAACACAUUAAGUACUCCGCCUGGGAAGUACGAUCGCAAGAUUAAAAC